rnacentral:rRNA from 1 species
GAUGAACGCUGGCGGCGUGCCUAAUACAUGCAAGUCGAGCGAACAGACGAGGAGCUUGCUCCUCUGACGUUAGCGGCGGACGGGUGAGUAACACGUGGAUAACCUACCUAUAAGACUGGGAUAACUUCGGGAAACCGGAGCUAAUACCGGAUAAUAUAUUGAACCGCAUGGUUCAAUAGUGAAAGACGGUUUUGCUGUCACUUAUAGAUGGAUCCGCGCCGCAUUAGCUAGUUGGUAAGGUAACGGCUUACCAAGGCAACGAUGCGUAGCCGACCUGAGAGGGUGAUCGGCCACACUGGACCUGGGACACGGUCCAGACUCCUACGGGAGGCAGCAGUAGGGAAUCUUCCGCAAUGGGCGAAAGCUUGACGGAGCAACGCCGCGUGAGUGAUGAAGGUCUUCGGAUCGUAAAACUCUGUUAUUAGGGAAGAACAAAUGUGUAAGUAACUAUGCACGUCUUGACGGUACCUAAUCAGAAAGCCACGGCUAACUACGUG